rnacentral:rRNA from 1 species
AACGAACGCUGGCGGCAUGCCUAACACAUGCAAGUCGAACGAGACCUUCGGGUCUAGUGGCGCACGGGUGCGUAACGCGUGGGAACCUGCCCUUAGGUUCGGAAUAACUCCCCGAAAGGGGUGCUAAUACCGGAUAAUGUCAUCGGACCAAAGAUUUAUCGCCUUUGGAUGGGCCCGCGUUGGAUUAGCUAGUUGGUAGGGUAAAAGCCUACCAAGGCGACGAUCCAUAGCUGGUCUGAGAGGAUGAUCAGCCACACUGGGACUGAGACACGGCCCAGACUCCUACGGGAAGCAGCAGUGGGGAAUAUUGGACAAUGGGCGAAAGCCUGAUCCAGCCAUGCCGCGUGAGUGAUGAAGGCCUUAGGGUUGUAAAGCUCUUUUACCCGGGAUGAUAAUGACAGUACCGGGAGAAUAAGCACCGGCUAACUCCGUG